ACGAACGCUGGCGGCAGGCUUAACACCUGCAAGUCGAACGCCCCGCAAGGGGAGUGGCAGACGGGUGAGUAACGCGUGGGAAUCUACCCAUCCCUACGGAAUAACGCAUGGAAACGUGUGCUAAUACCGUAUACGCCCUACGGGGGAAAGAUUUAUCGGGGAUGGAUGAGCCCGCGUUGGAUUAGCUAGUUGGUGGGGUAAAGGCCUACCAAGGCGACGAUCCAUAGCUGGUCUGAGAGGAUGAUCAGCCACAUUGGGACUGAGACACGGCCCAAACUCCUACGGGAGGCAGCAGUGGGGAAUAUUGGACAAUGGGCGCAAGCCUGAUCCAGCCAUGCCGCGUGAGUGAUGAAGGCCUUAGGGUUGUAAAGCUCUUUCACCGGAGAAGAUAAUGACGGUAUCCGGAGAAGAAGCCCCGGCUAACUUCGUG
rnacentral:rRNA from 1 species